rnacentral:lncRNA from 1 species
AGUGAAGUUUGCAUGCCCCAUGGAGGCGAGCCCCUUUUUGGCUGAUCUACGUAUUUUGAUUAUUUUCUGUUUUAUUUCUUCUUUCUGCCUGCUGCAUCGUGUAGUACCGAAAAGAUCUUGGGAGAUGGUGUCCUGACCAGACAUCCACCCAACAUAUUGCAUGAUGAGGGUAGCUAUGAACAACAAACUUAGCCGUAAGUUCGAGGAUAAGCAGUUUAAGGAGAUCAUUCAAAUGUUGAAUGAGUCCUUCGGCACCC